rnacentral:rRNA from 1 species
UACGUAGGGGGCAAGCGUUGUCCGGAAUCAUUGGGCGUAAAGAGCGCGUAGGCGGCCCUGUAAGUCCGCUGUGAAAGUCAAGGGCUCAACCCUUGGAUGCCGGUGGAUACUGCAGGGCUAGAGUCCGGAAGAGGCGAGUGGAAUUCCUGGUGUAGCGGUGAAAAUGCGCAGAUAUCAGGAGGAACACCGAUGGCGAAGGCAGCUCGCUGGGACGGUACUGACGCUGAGGCGCGAAGGCCAGGGGAGCAAACGGG